rnacentral:rRNA from 1 species
AGUAAACGUUAGUGGCGUGCUUAACACAUGCAAGUCGAACGAAUGAGAACUUAUAAAAAUCAUAAGUUCUUGUUAGUGGCAAACGGGUGAGUAAUACAUGGGAAUUUGCCCUGUAGUAUGGAAUAACCAUGGGAAACGAUGGCUAAUACCAUAUAUUAUCGAGAGAUGAAAGGUUUAACCGCUACAGAAUAAGCCCAUGCAAGAUUAGUUUGUUGGUAAGGUAAGAGCUUACCAAGGCUAGAAUCUUUAGCUGGUUUGAGAGAAUGAUCAGCCACACUGGAACUUAGAUACGGUCCAGACUCCUACGGGAGGCAGCAGUGAGGAAUAUUGGACAAUGGGCGAAAGCCUGAUCCAGCGACGCCACGUGAAUGAUGAAGGCCCUAGGGUUGUAAAAUUCUUUUAGUGGAGAAGAUAAUGACGUUAUCCACAGAAAAAGUCCCGGCUAACUUCGUGCCAGCCGCCGCCGUAACAC